CAAAAGGAAAAAGAUGGUGGUUUAAAUUUGGAGAACCCAUCAGGCGCUAGUGGACUGAAGAUGCUCUGGCCUGUUAUCCUUCCACUGCAGAGAGGAGGAGGUGUUCGCUGCUCUGUGAAACCAGCCUGACGCGGUGCCCUCCUGUCUAAGAGACGAGAAGCCUCCGCCUUCGCAGAGACUCCACAACCGGACUCACCACUUGGAACGGGCAAGCCAGUAGAUAGCACCCCCGAGCCCAGCCUUCAAAGGUAAGCCAAAUUAUUCCACCAUUCUAAUGCUCCCACUUAGGUUACAGGCUCGCGCUACCAAGCCCAGCGAACAUUGCUUCUACCUAUGGACUUAUUAAGAGGAAAUAUUCCUCAUUUGGUUCCGAUGUGGGAUUGUGCGAGCCUUUCAUGGGUAAAAAAUGGAGCAGAGAACUCUGAUGUACUUAUGUUUAUGCCUGGUGUUUGACAGAUAUGAGACUUACGCUGUAUCGUUGUUCACAAAAAACUUAGGAAUGUAGAUGAAGCCUUGUUUUUUUUGAUAUGGAAAUUGCAUCAUUUUUGUUGAAGGAGGGCUUAUAUGUGAAGCAGAGACAUAGCCUGAAAGCUUUGCUUCACUGACCGGAAUGGCAGAGAUGGCAAAUCUUGAUUGGUGUCAUUGGAGAUGUUCAGGAAAUUCCAGCUUCUGAGCUGUCUGAUUGAAACAUUUUUUUGUCUUGAACCUUUAUCAAGGAAAUUCCAGCUUCUGAGCGGUUUCUGGUCAUUUACCUCUUCUCGUCUGAUGCUUAAUUUUUUGUUUUUAAAAUGUUUAUACUUAGUAUGAUGAGCUGCAAAAGACUUGGUUGAGCAAAAGGUGUGAGACUAUGAGUGCAAAGUUAGAGAAGUUUACACAACUAAUUACAUGCUUAUAGGAAGCUUGGAAUCACUGAAGGUUACCAGCACAGUUCAGUGUUCACACUCAGCCAGUGAUUUUAUCAUUACUGAUAAUGCAAGGAGUUGAGGACUAUAACCUUCUUUUUUAUCAGUAAUUUUGUCUGCUCAUCCCACCACCUAAUUAUAUUUCUACCCAAAAGAUUGUGUAUUUAUACUCCACCACAUUGUUCAAUUUGCAUUGAUCCCUACUGUUGACCAUCAACCACUAUUAUCUACAUAUAUUCUUUUUUAUAAUACACUGGUUUUCACAUCCCAUAAGAUGAAACUAAUCUGGCCGAAUCACGGUCUGUCUUCCGAAGGGUGUUCGUUUUGAAAUUCAAGCAGCCACUCAAAACAUUGCCCUCGUUUCAAUGUAAGGAAGGAAGGGAAUAGGCCAAGCCCCUUUGUAGGGCCUAUGACCUAGCCUAAUUAAUUAGGCCUAGUUAAGUCUGACUUAUUUAGUAAAAAAGUCGGGUUUGGGCUCAUUUCUGCAGCAAAUCUUGAUUAGUGGCAUUCGAGAUGUUGAGGGUCAUUACCCUCAGCUCAGUUUGCAAAAUUGCCAUCAGCUUCCUUACUUUUGCAGUGUAUACUAAAACAAUAGGAGUCAAUAUAAAAAUUGGCAUAAUGUUAACAAUCUUGUAAAAUCUCAUCCUUUUUGUGAACCAUUUACCACUUCAAUUUAGAAAGAUAUUUAGAAGAUGAAUUUUGCUGAAAGCAUCACCCUUAAAACUAUAUUUUGUAGCAUUUUUCUUAUUUCGAGGGACAGAAAUAUGCAUGAAAUAAAAUCGGUCAAAAAUUUGUUUUUGUCAUAUUUGGUGGUAAUUGAAAACAUUUAAGGUUUAUGAAGCUCUUGAGCUUCAAUUCGGAUUGUAGCUGCAGAAGUUGCUCAAAGGUUGAGGCUACCUCUUAUUUCCAAAGAUGGUGAAGAUGAAAAAAUUGAGAAUUUGAGUGUACUCUUAAGAAGUUCCCUUGACAGCACAAGUCCCAGUGUCGCAAUGAGCUCUGGCUCCAAAUUCAACAAAUUUCACUAAUGGGAACCUCAGCUCAACUUGGGCAGGUGCUGCUAUCCAUGGUUUGACGAGCUUUGACUUUUUUGAUUUGAUUGAGAAAUUGGUUUGCAAGUUUUUGUUGAGUUAUCAAGUGUCUAAGUUGUAUAUUGCCAUUCUAAUUUCUAAUUACUUCAAGUCUUGAACUAAGUAAUUCUAAUGGAACAUGUUAACACUUGUAUUGUUCUGAUAUUUUAAUUAGGACAUGGCAGAUCGAAUACCAGAUAUUGAUUUCGCGUGAGGUCGGAAAUCAUUUAGAUGCUAAAUGUGAAAACUUAGCUGAUGCUGUUGCUAUUGAUGACAUUGGUCGUAGGAUGAGGUGCAAAAGACUUGGCUGAGCAAACAGUGUGAGACUAUGAGUGCAAAGUUGAGGUAGGAUAGGAUUCACCCAUUGCUAAGUGUGGUUGCACAGAUCAAGGAGGAAAAAGGAAUGCCUGGAAUGGAGAAAAUUUAGACUACAUUUCAGGCUCGAUGAGAGAAAACGUAGAAAAGAUUUCAUAACAGAAAGGAAUUUGCUCUAUCCAACUGAAUUUGAGAAGACGUUAUCUCAAGAAGAGAAGGAUAUAUGGCGACGCUAUGAUGCCUUCAUGCGUUUUCAUUCCAGGGAAGAGCAUGAAAGAACUACUUAAGGCUAUAAUCUCAGAGCAUAGAAUUCUGAAAAGAAUAAAAGAACUCAAGGAGAAACAAGUAUGUGGUGACAUUAGGAUGCCGCCGCCACAUUAUCUUAAGAUGCUAGAAUUGAUGACAGUACACAUACAGCGGAGACAUCACCAAAAUGUCUGAUGCUUAUACCUUCUUCCAAAUCAAAACAACCAAAGUGGAUAGAGUCUAUGAUAUGCUUUUGAAGAAGGGUAUUGCUCCAUUGUGAAAAUAAGUUGUUCAUUCGUAGAUUAUCUAUUCUUUAACGGCUGGAUGGAGCGAGGGUGUUUUAGUGGUACAAAUGUGCAUAAUUCAUCUUUCCACAUCAGGCUGCAUGGUUUCAAACCUACGCCAUCAGGAUCCUCUGAUAGUGUAAUGUUGUAUAACCAAAACCAUAAAUUUGUAAUUUUAAACUUAGUUUUGUCCAAUUUCAUUGUGUUUCCAAUUGAUACAUAUGAUUUGAGAGGCUGUGUGCUCA